rnacentral:rRNA from 1 species
AUUAGCUAGUUGGUAGGGUAAAGGCCUACCAAGGCGACGAUCUAUAGCUGGUCUGAGAGGACGAUCAGCCACACUGGGACUGAGACACGGCCCAGACUCCUACGGGAGGCAGCAGUGGGGAAUAUUGGACAAUGGGCGCAAGCCUGAUCCAGCAAUACCGCGUGUGUGAAGAAGGCCCUAGGGUUGUAAACGGCUAACUCCGUGCCAGCAGCCGCGGUAAUACGGAGGGUGCGAGCGUUAAUCGGAAUUACUGGGCGUAAAGCGUGCGUAGGCGGUUCGUUAAGUCAGAUGUGAAAGCCCCGGGCUUAACCUGGGAACUGCAUUUGAAACUGGCGAACUAGAGUUUAAUAGAGGGGAGUGGAAUUUCAGGUGUAGCGGUGAAAUGCGUAGAUAUCUGAAGGAACACCAGUGGCGAAGGCGACUCCCUGGAUUAAAACUGACGCUGAGGUACGAAAGCGUGGGUAGCAAACAGGAUUAGAUACCCUGGUAGUCCACGCCGUAAACGAUGUCAACUAGCCGUUGGUCCUAUUUACGGGAUUAGUGGCGCAGCUAACGCAUUAAGUUGACCGCCUGGGGAGUACGGCCGCAAG